CCUACGGGAGGCAGCAGUGGGGAAUAUUGCACAAUGGGGGAAACCCUGAUGCAGCGACGCCGCGUGAGUGAAGAAGUAUUUCGGUACGUAAAGCUCUAUCAGCAGGGAAGAAAAUGACGGUACCUGACUAAGAAGCCCCGGCUAACUACGUGCCAGCAGCCGCGGUAAUACGUAGGGGGCAAGCGUUAUCCGGAUUUACUGGGUGUAAAGGGAGCGUAGACGGCAGCGCAAGUCUGGAGUGAAAUCCCAUGGCUUAACCAUGGAACUGCUUUGGAAACCGUGCAGCUAGAGUGCAGGAGAGGUAAGCGGAAUUCCUAGUGUAGCGGUGAAAUGCGUAGAUAUUAGGAGGAACACCAGUGGCGAAGGCGGCUUACUGGACUGUAACUGACGUUGAGGCUCGAAAGCGUGGGGAGCAAACAGGAUGAGAUACCCUGGUAGUC
rnacentral:rRNA from 1 species